AUAUUGGUCAAUAGCCUAACGGCUGAACCAGCAACUUGGAGGAAUGUAUGGCAAUAGCUGGUUGCAUUAACAAAAAGUUAGUGUAAGAUCGACUCUGUCGAAUAAAAUUCUAGAUAGAAUUUUGAUAAUGACAUUAUCUAUCUAUGUGUCUUGACCAAAUUACGUGCCAGCAGUCGCGGUAAUACGUAAAAGACUAGUGUUAUUCAUCUUUAAUAGGUUUAAAGGGUACUUAGACGGUAAAUCAAGCCCUAAUAGGGAACUAAUAUACUAGAGUUUGAUGUAAGGAAGCAUGAAAGUACUGUUGGUGUAGAGAUAAAAUUCUAUCAUACCAAAUAUGGCACAGGUUUAGGCGAAAGCAUCUUCUUAUGUAAUAACUGACGUUGAAGGACGAAGGCUUUGUGUCUCGAACAGGAUUAGAUACCCCAGUAGUCUAAGCAGACAAUGAUGAAUGUCAUAGAUUAGAUUUAAUUUAUUCUAUAAAUGAAAGUGUAAGCAUUCCACCUCAAGAGUAAUUUGGCAACAUUGGAACUGAAAUCAUUAGACCGUUUCUGAAACCAGUAGUGAAGUAUGUUAUUUAAUUCA
rnacentral:rRNA from 1 species